rnacentral:sRNA from 1 species
UUGUUAAAAGUAUGUGCAUGCAAUGGU